GUGUCAGCAGCCGCGGUAAUACGAAGGGUGCAAGCGUUGUUCGGAAUUAUUGGGCGUAAAGCGCGCGCAGGCGGGUCAGCAAGUCAGAUGUGAAAUCUCGGGGCUUAACCCCGAAACUGCGUCUGAAACUACUAACCUAGAAUAUCGGAGAGGAAGAUGGAAUUUCGCAUGUAGGGGUAAAAUCCGUAGAGAUGCGAAGGAACACCAGAGGCGAAAGCGAUUUUCUGGACGAUUAUUGACGCUGAGGCGCGAAAGCGUGGGGAGCAAACAGGAUUAGAUACCCCGGUAGUCC
rnacentral:rRNA from 1 species